rnacentral:tRNA from 1 species
CGGGGCGUAGCGCAGACCGGUUAGCGCGCCUGCCUUGGGAGCAGGAGGUCGCUGGUUCAAAUCCAGUCGCCCCGA